rnacentral:rRNA from 1 species
CAGUUCGGUCCCUAUCUGCCGUGGGCGCUGGAGAACUGAGGGGGGCUGCUCCUAGUACGAGAGGACCGGAGUGGACGCAUCACUGGUGUUCGGGUUGUCAUGCCAAUGGCACUGCCCGGUAGCUAAAUGCGGAAGAGAUAAGUGCUGAAAGCAUCUAAGCACGAAACUUGCCCCGAGAUGAGUUCUCCCUGAGACUUAGAGUCUCCUGAAGGAACGUUGAAGACGACGACGUUGAUAGGCCGGGUGUGUAAGCGCAGCGAUGCGUUGAGCUAACCGGUACUAAUGAACCGUGAGGCUUAACCUUACAACGCCGAAG